rnacentral:lncRNA from 1 species
GAGUAGGAAAGGUAGUUUUUCACUCAAUUCAUUCUAAGUAAGGUAUAAAACUACUGUCCGAAAUCAGUUUGCAAUACAACUCAAAUAGGUUGUAGCCACACUACGAAAUUUGCUAAAUAUCCAAUAUAUCAACAACUAAACUCCACAUAGUCUGCUUAGAAAGUAAUAUCACAACACUUGGGCAAUUGAACUCCCAACUAGUAUACAAUUCUCAGGCUUUCCUUUUUUGUGUGAACAAUGGAAACUGGUGAUAAUAAUUGUUGGCGAUAUUCAAUUGAGUUAUCGAAAACCUAUUACAAGAGAAGAUUAUUAUAAUUAAAAGAAAAAUAAAUAGCAAUAAUAACUUAAAGAGAAAAAAGUUUGUGAAUGAGUAUACAAUUAUUUACCUGCUCAUUACUGAUCAAUUUACUAUUUGAGCCAACUCUAAUAUUCAUACUCUGCUUGUCUUUCAUUUUGUGGCGAGUUUUGAGGUGGUUCGGGCAUAACCGUACCUUCCAUUUGUUGCUCUGAAGAAUUGGAUAAGAUCCCACCUUGACUAGAAUCUAUUUGUCUUUUUCUUGCCAUCUGAAUGAAAUUGCUCAACAACUAUGAUUCCAACCAAAUUGAAAAACAAUUUCUACUAUCUAAAAGUAUGAAAUAAUAUCUAACUACCAAGUCAAAUAAUAAGACAUGUAAUCUUCAUCAAAUACUUCAGUACUUUCCAGAGUUUGUGGGUCAAUUUCUGUCCCUGGCACUCCUUCCCUAACCCAUUCAAUAUCUUGUUCACUUUUAAAUGUGGUAUCAUCUGAAGUUCAAAUAGUAUAGAUAUACUCUGCAAACAAACUUAAAGAGCCUAAAUAACUUGGAAAGGAGAAACCUAAUAAGUACUUCAGAACACAAAAAUACUUUCUUUUAACUAUCACAUUACAAAGAAUAGACUUACAUUGUAUUAAAUUAAAUAGAAAAUAGAUAAGAACCUGCGAAAGCCUUACCAAGAGUCUGAACCCUAUAUCAAUAUUCUUCCAAUAGCUUUCCUCUCUUUCCCUGUCUUCUUCAAUCUCCAAGUAUAUGUGAUUGAAUUACAAAAGCGUAAUACAAAAUUAGGUUGUCUGAAGAGACCUAACUAAUAAAGAAAACUGUAAUUUUAGAAUUAGGAGGAGGGAAGCCGAAAAUUCUUACCCCCAAAUUUUUUCCUUCUAAAUCUCCCAUACUCUCCAUACAUAGGAGUACCUAUUUUCGGGAGUGGCGGAAUAUAUUGCAGAGAUAAAUAUCAAAUUUGACUCAAAUUAGACUAGGUUUGAUAAAAGAUUGAGCCAACUGGAAAAUUCCCUAAUAUGUUAGGUCUUGAGGUCUUCUAAGAAAGGAUCCUGGUAUCUCG